rnacentral:rRNA from 1 species
GACGGAGGAUGCAAGCGUUAUCCGGAAUGAUUGGGCGUAAAGCGUCCGCAGGUGGCAGUUCAAGUCUGCUGUCAAAGACCGGGGCUUAACCCCAGAAAGGCGGUGGAAACUGAACAGCUAGAGAGAGGUAGGGGUAGAGGGAAUUCCCAGUGUAGCGGUGAAAUGCGUAGAUAUUGGGAAGAACAUCAGUGGCGAAAGCGCUCUACUGGACCUUAUCUGACAUUGAGGGACGAAAGCUAGGGGAGCGAAUGGG